rnacentral:rRNA from 1 species
UACGUAGGGUGCAAGCGUUAAUCGGAAUUACUGGGCGUAAAGCGUGCGCAGGCGGCUUUGCAAGACAGAUGUGAAAUCCCCGGGCUUAACCUGGGAACUGCAUUUGUGACUGCAAGGCUAGAGUACGGUAGAGGGGAUGGAAUUCCGCGUGUAGCAGUGAAUGACGUAGAUAUGCGGAGGAACACCGAUGGCGAAGGCAAUCCCCUGGACCUGUACUGACGCUCAUGCACGAAAGCGUGGGGAGCAAACAGG